AGCGAACGCCGGCGGCAGGCUUAACACAUGCAAGUCGAGCGGGCACUUUCGGGUGUCAGCGGCGGACGGGUGAGUAACGCGUGGGAACGUGCCCUCUGGUUCGGAAUAACUCAGGGAAACUUGAGCUAAUACCGGAUACGCCCUUUUGGGGAAAGGCUUGCUGCCGGAGGAUCGGCCCGCGUCUGAUUAGCUAGUUGGUGAGGUAACGGCUAACCAAGGCGACGAUCAGUAGCUGGUCUGAGAGGAUGAUCAGCCACACUGGGACUGAGACACGGCCCAGACUCCUACGGGAGGCAGCAGUGGGGAAUAUUGGACAAUGGGCGCAAGCCUGAUCCAGCCAUGCCGCGUGAGUGAUGAAGGCCUUAGGGUUGUAAAGCUCUUUUAUCCGGGACGAUAAUGACGGUACCGGAGGAAUAAGCCCCGGCUAACUUCGUG
rnacentral:rRNA from 1 species